rnacentral:sRNA from 1 species
AUGUGAUAAACUCAUUCACACAAACUGCUUUGAAUGAAAGAUGUCACUUUUUUGGAAAUAUCGAAGUCGGCAAAGACAUAUCAUUGAAGUCUUUGAGAGAUUCUUAUACAGCUGUGGUUCUGUGCUAUGGUGCAGCAGAUGAUAAAAUGCUUGGGAUACCUGGUGAAAAUCUGUCAAAUGUUUUAUCUGCAAGAUCUUUUGUCGGCUGGUACAAUGGGAACCCAGAUGAUAAAAAUCUGCCCGUUGACUUGGACUGUGAAUCAGCGGUUGUCUUGGGUCAUGGCAAUGUUGCUGUAGAUGUUGCUCGUAUUCUCUUGACACCUACCAACAUUU